GUUCCAGUUUACCGGCUUUCCUAAGGCUCACAUUUAUCUGUGAAACAAACGGGAUUCACUUAAUUUCACACAAAAUAUGGAUUAUUGAAAAGCAAAUGAAUGAGAAAUGGAUGUUUGUGGUUAUUUGAGGGCCUGAUGGAACGAUGAUGAAACUUGCAAAAAAAUAGUCAAUUGUGGUACCUUUCCGGAGACAGUUUCACCGUCAUAGUAAAGUAGGUGACGUUCUUUCUUGCCAUCCUCAGAUUUGAUGUCUGCUGUUUUUCUUGUUUCGCCACCAUCUAGAAUGAUUUCAAUCUCGGCAGACUGCCCAAACCCAAAGAAAC